AGGACGAACGCUGGCGGCGUGCUUAACACAUGCAAGUCGAGCGGAAAGGCCCUUCGGGGUACUCGAGCGGCGAACGGGUGAGUAACACGUGAGUAAUCUGCCCUUAGCUCUGGGAUAGCUCCGGGAAACCGGGAUUAAUACCAGAUACGACCACUUUAGACAUCUGCCGUGGUGGAAAGAAUUUCGGCUAAGGAUGAGCUCGCGGCCUAUCAGCUUGUUGGUGGGGUAACGGCCUACCAAGGCGACGACGGGUAGCCGGCCUGAGAGGGCGACCGGCCACGACCUGGGACUGAGACACGGCCCAGACUCCUACGGGAGGCAGCAGUGGGGAAUAUUGCGCAAUGGGCGAAAGCCUGACGCAGCGACGCCGCGUGGGGGAUGAAGGCCUUCGGGUUGUAAACCCCUUUCAGCAGGGACGAAGCGAAAGUGACGGUACCUGCAGAAGAAGCGCCGGCUAACUACGUGCCAGCAGCCGC
rnacentral:rRNA from 1 species